UAAUACGUAGGGUGCAAGCGUUGUCCGGAAUUAUUGGGCGUAAAGAGCUCGUAGGCGGUUUGUCGCGUCUGCUGUGAAAUCCCGAGGCUCAACCUCGGGCCUGCAGUGGGUACGGGCAGACUAGAGUGCGGUAGGGGAGAUUGGAAUUCCUGGUGUAGCGGUGGAAUGCGCAGAUAUCAGGAGGAACACCGAUGGCGAAGGCAGAUCUCUGGGCCGUAACUGACGCUGAGGAGCGAAAGCGUGGGGAGCGAACAGGAUUAGAUACCCUGGUAGUCCACGCCGUAAACGUUGGGAACUAGAUGUGGGGACCAUUCCACGGUCUCCGUGUCGCAGCUAACGCAUUAAGUUCCCCGCCUGGGGAGUACGGCCGCAAGGCUA
rnacentral:rRNA from 1 species